UACGUAGGGCGCAAGCGUUGUUCGGAAUUACUGGGCGUAAAGAGCUCGUAGGCGGCUUGUCACGUCGGGUGUGAAAGCCCGGGGCUUAACCCCGGGUCUGCAUUCGAUACGGGCAGGCUAGAGUGUGGUAGGGGAGAUCGGAAUUCCUGGUGUAGCGGUGAAAUGCGCAGAUAUCAGGAGGAACACCGGUGGCGAAGGCGGGACUCUGGGCCGAUACUGACGCUGAGGAGCGAAAGCGUGGGGAGCAAACAGG
rnacentral:rRNA from 1 species